UACGUAGGGUCCGAGCGUUGUCCGGAAUUACUGGGCGUAAGAGCUCGUAGGUGGUUUGUCGCGUUGUUCGUGAAAACUCACAGCUUAACUGUGGGCGUGCGGGCGAUACGGGCAGACUUGAGUACUGCAGGGGAGACUGGAAUUCCUGGUGUAGCGGUGGAAUGCGCAGAUAUCAGGAGGAACACCGGUGGCGAAGGCGGGUCUCUGGGCAGUACUGACGCUGAGGAGCGAAAGCGUGGGGAGCGAACAGG
rnacentral:rRNA from 1 species